UUUAACUGAAGAGUUUGAUCAUGGCUCAGAUUGAACGCUGGCGGCAGGCUUAACACAUGCAAGUCGAGCGGGGGAAGGUAGCUUGCUACUGGACCUAGCGGCGGACGGGUGAGUAAUGCUUAGGAAUCUGCCUAUUAGUGGGGGACAACAUCUCGAAAGGGAUGCUAAUACCGCAUACGUCCUACGGGAGAAAGCAGGGGAUCUUCGGACCUUGCGCUAAUAGAUGAGCCUAAGUCGGAUUAGCUAGUUGGUGGGGUAAAGGCCUACCAAGGCGACGAUCUGUAGCGGGUCUGAGAGGAUGAUC
rnacentral:rRNA from 1 species